AAGCGAGAUCGAGAGAUGGAGCAAAUCCCAAAAAUAACGUCCCAGUUCGGACUGUAGUCUGCAACCCGACUACACGAAGCUGGAAUCGCUAGUAAUCGCGGAUCAGAAUGCCGCGGUGAAUACGUUCCCGGGUCUUGUACACACCGCCCGUCACACCAUGGGAGUCAGUAACGCCCGAAGUCAGUGACCUAACCGAAAGGGAGGAGCCGCCGAAGGCGGGACGGAUGACUGGGGUGAAGUCGUAACAAGGUAUC
rnacentral:rRNA from 1 species